rnacentral:rRNA from 1 species
GACGUAGGAGGCGAGCGUUGUCCGGAUUCAUUGGGCGUAAAGAGCUCGUAGGCGGUUUGUUGCGUCGGCUGUGAAAUCCCGAGGCUCAACCUCGGGUCUGCAGUCGAUACGAGCAAACUAGAGUGUUGCAGGGGAGACUGGAAUUCCUGGUGUAGCGGUGAAAUGCGCAGAUAUCGAGGAGGAACACCGGUGGGCGAAGGCGGGGUCUCUGGGCGAAGCAACGAUGACGCUGGAGGGGCGAAAAGCGUGGGGAGCCGAACAGG